AAUCCAUUCCCACCCUGCUUAAUACAUUUUCAUGUUUCUUCCUUGACAGGCCUGGGCACGUCAGAUUUGGGGUCCCACCGUCUCGGAUCCCACGCUUCUGGUGUGCUUGGGAACGGAAGGUGUUUGGGGACAAGCCGGGUAGGAGGCCCGGCUGCCGAAACAAAGAGAGAGAAGGCAAGUUCAGGGGCGCGAGCUAGGGCGGGGGGCGCCCACUGCUUCUUUCUGCAGCCUCCCGAGUCAGCGGGUGGCUCGCACACACACGGUGCCGGGGUUUAAGCCCUGUUUCUAACCACGUGCAUGUAGUUAAUCUCUCCGAGCCUCAGUGUUUAUGAAACAGGAAUAAUAAAAAUGCCCACCCAUACAGUUGCGUGAUUAAAUGGCGUGAUGCGCGAGGACAGCUAUGCCUGUGCCCGGCUCACGGUAAGGACUCGGCGAAUGUGCAAUGUGAAGGUAUGGAUAUUGUAAGUCAGCAAACAGAUGUUGCAUUCUGAGUCUAUGGUAGGAGUCAUUUCCAUGUAUCUCACUUAAAAAAAAUCACAAUAACCCUGGUGGGGGGGGGGUGUUGUUAUUAUCUUUACUUUGUAGAUAAGGAAGCCUAGACUUAGGAAGAAGAGUGGCAGAGCCAAGUGAAUCCCCCGGAGUUUGCCAAAUCCGCCAGUGGGGUCUCCCUGCCACACUCACCUGAGCCCAGGUUCAGGGCCUGCUGAGACCCACAGCACAACGAAGCCAGGUCUGACUGGAGGGUGGACCUCCGGGAGCUCAGCUGGGUAGUGCGAGGCCUCGUGUCAGCCAAUGGCAGCAGGUUUUACUGAUGCUUCUGGAGGGCCCACCCUCUGGAAAUGCAAGCCCGUUGGUUCCCAGGACUGGAAGCCUCAAGCACGUGUGGCCCUAGACCUCAAAGAGGGUUUGGCUGCUGUGGCUUCUCUGGCAACAAAAGCUGUUGAUUUGUUUUUUGAGCCGAGUGGCUAGUUGAGGGCACCAGCCACAACCUGCUAUUAGGAGCUCCUCACUGCGGUCUGCGUGGAGCGCUCAGGGAAGAGCCCCCGUGUGUCCUGGGAUCCCACGGUCUCUUGUUUCUUCCCUCUUGGUUGGCAUGUGGCUGGGGCAGGGGACACCCUGGGGAUUUCGGCGUGAGUCUCUCUCCCUCACAGGACUGUGCAGAGCUCUCCUGAAGCUGUGGGACCAACCACAUCUGAGGAGUCCUCACUCCCAGACCCCUGCCCUUUUAGGUCCUCGGUGUUUCCAAACACUUCUUCAGGACCCGUUCCUGGAGAACUUUCUGUAGAUAUGGAUGCAAAUACAGAAGGGUGGGCCCCAAAGCACUUCUGGUGAUUGAAUGUGCUGCCUCUGUGCAUUGCUUUGUCUCUCUCUGUCCACCCCUCACCAGAACGGAUGCUUCCCAGCUUGGGAUCUUGCCUCUCUUGUCCUCUGAUAUAUCCUCAGUGCCUAGAACACGGUGCUCUACAACAGCACAGAGCAGGGGAGCCACUAUUGAUCCAUGGGUGUGCCCUGGCAACUGGUACAGGGUCUUGUGCUCAGUGUCUGCUUCAUCAGGAGCUGGACCCAAUCACCCACUAAAUGGUCAUUUGUUAAUUAACUAAGGGAUGAAUACUGGAAGUAGACUGGUGAGGAAAAAACAAGAUUCGGUUCCAGCCUUCCUGGACUUGCUAGGGGAGUUGGACCAGUGGAGCUCAAUCCAGUUCAGCUUGACUCAACUCAACUGAGCUCAUCACAACUAAGUUCAGCUCAAUGCAGGUCAACUCAUCUUGACUUAGCUCAGUGCACAUCAGCUCCGCUCAACGCAGUGCUCAGAGUGGAUCAUCUCUGCUCAAUGGACCCACCUUGACUCGACUCAGUGCAGCUCAACUCAACACAACUCAGCUGUACUAGGCUUGCUUGGUUCAACUCCACUUAACUCAACUCAGCUCAACUGGGAACGGCUACAUUCAGUCAAUUAGGGAGGCAUUAACCGAGUAUCAAGGUUAGAGGCUCAUGUGGUUGAUUCCUCCAGGAACACAUACUUUAGUCAUUAAAAUAAGGAGUUUGGAUAUGAAGAAUGUAGAUAGUAAUAUACAAGCAAAGACUUUAAAGCUCAAUGGAAGGAACAGCUACUUCUCACUGGUGAAGGCUUCUUGAAAGUCAUAUUAUUUCAGGUACAAUUUAAUUUUGACUAAUGUUGGAGGGCUGGGGCAGGAAGUCAGUCCAGAAAGCGAGAACAGCCUGAGAAAUGCCUGGACAGGGUGGAAUAAAUGGCUUGACUUGGGAGUGGAUACAGAGGUGUAGAAGGUAAUAGGCGACAAGGCUAAAAGACAGUGAGGAGGGAGUUCAAGACAGUUCUGAAUGGCAUGCUUUUGGACUUUUUCUGUAAGAACAGAAAUCUGCUGCAUGAUUUCACUUCAUUCUUGCAAAAGCCCUAGGAAACAUUUAAGGUAGGGAUGGUGAUUUCCAUUUUACAGAUGAAGAAAUGGAGGCUUAGAGAAGUUAAUGCCUGCUCAGGUAGAGGUUGGUUGAGUUGGAAAUUAAAUCACAUCAAGAGAACUGUCUUCUUUGUUUUCAUUUCCUCAGCCCCACAGCUGGCACUCAGGAGCUGGAGUGUGGUAUGAUUCAAGCUAUAUUUUCACACCAUAAAUGUUGGGAGAACAGAGGAUGGGUGGGAAGGGAUGAGGCAGGAAGACUAGGUAGGAGAGAAGAGUAUCUGGGAAUCCAGGGCCCCAGGGAUGAUGGAGAGAGGAAGUGUUGGCUAAAUACUCAUCUAUAAGUUCCCACCAAAUGUCAUGCAGAAUCUACAGGGCAUUUAACAGCCUUGGAAGAUUAUGGUCUCGUCUUUCUAAGUCUCUUACAUUCUAAAACCUCAAGUUCUUCAUCUGCAAUUAUGGAAUUUAUAGUACUAUUCCCCCUAAGGAUUGUGAAAAUUCAAUUGGUAUACAAGUGCUUAAAAAGUCAAGUAUUUUUGAACUUAAGAAAAAUAUGGAGAGUAAUAUAACUAAUACUCAU